rnacentral:rRNA from 1 species
GAUGAACGCUGGCGGCGUGCCUAAUACAUGCAAGUCGAGCGAACAGACGAGGAGCUUGCUCCUCUGACGUUAGCGGCGGACGGGUGAGUAACACGUGGAUAACCUACCUAUAAGACUGGGAUAACUUCGGGAAACCGGAGCUAAUACCGGAUAAUAUAUUGAACCGCAUGGUUCAAUAGUGAAAGACGGUUUUGCUGUCACUUAUAGAUGGAUCCGCGCCGCAUUAGCUAGUUGGUAAGGUAACGGCUUACCAAGGCGACGAUGCGUAGCCGACCUGAGAGGGUGAUCGGCCACACUGGAACUGAGACACGGUCCAGACUACUAAGGGAGGCAGCAGUAGGGAAUCUUACGCAAUGGGCGAAAGCCUGACGGAGCAACGCCGCGUGAGUGAUGAAGGUCUUCGGAUCGUAAAACUCUGUUAUGAGGGAAGAACAAAUGUGUAAGUAACUAUGCACGUCUUGACGGUACCUAAUCAGAAAGCAACGGCUAACUACGUG